CCUACGGGUGGCAGCAGUGGGGGAUAUUGGACAAUGGGGGGAACCCUGAUCCAGCGACGCCGCGUGAGUGAAGAAGUAUUUCGGUAUGUAAAGCUCUGUCAGCAGGGAAGAAAGAAAUGACGGUACCUGACUAAGAAGCCCCGGCUAACUACGUGCCAGCAGCCGCGGUAAUACGGAGGGGGCAAGCGUUAUUCGGAAUUACUGGGUGUAAAGGGAGCGUAGACGGUUAAGUAAGUCUGGAGUGAAAGGCCGGGGCCCAACCCCGGGACUGCUCUGGAAACUAUUGAACUUGAGUGCAGGAGAGGUAAGCGGAAUUCCUAGUGUAGCGGUAAAAUGCGUAGAUAUUAGGAGGAACACCAGUGGCGAAGGCGGCUUACUGGACUGUAACUGACGUUGAGGCUCGAAAGCGUGGGGAGCAAACAGGAUUAGAUACCCUUGUAGUC
rnacentral:rRNA from 1 species